CCUGGGGAGUACGCCCGCAAGGGUGAAACUCAAAGGAAUUGACGGGGGCCCGCACAAGCGGUGGAGCGCGUGGUUUAAUUCGACGCUAAGCGAAGAACCUUACCUGGGCUUGACAUGCUGGUGGUACCCUGGUGGAAACACUGGGGGACUCCCCGUUGAGGGGAGAGCCAGCACAGGUGCUGCACGGCUGUCGUCAGCUCGUGCCGUGAGGUGUUGGGUUAAGUCCCGCAACGAGCGCAACCCCUGCCCUUAGUUGCCACAGCACCCACGAGGUGGCUGGGCACUCUAAGGGGACUGCCGCCGAUGAGGCGGAGGAAGGUGGGGAUGACGUCAAGUCCGUGUGGCCUUUAUGUCCAGGGCUACACACGCGCUACAAUGGGUGGUACAAUGGGCUUUGCGACCCCGCGAGGGGAAGCGAAUCCCUUAAAACCACCCCCAGUUCGGAUUGGGGUCUGCAACCCGACCCCAUGAAGACGGAAUCGCUAGUAAUCGCCUAUCAGCAUGGGGCGGUGAAUACGUUCCCGGGCCUUGUACACACCGCCCGUCACGCCAUGGGAGCCGGGGGCACCUGAAGUCGCUGGCCCAACCCCGCAAGGGGAGGGAGGCGCCUAGGGUGAAACCGGUGACUGGGGCGAAGUCGUAACAAGGUAGCCGUACGGGAACGUGCGGCUG
rnacentral:rRNA from 1 species